rnacentral:rRNA from 1 species
AUUGAACGCUGGCGGUAUGCUUAACACAUGCAAGUCGAACGGUAACAGGCCUUCGGGCGCUGACGAGUGGCGGACGGGUGAGUAACGCGUAGGAAUCUGCCUCAUAGUGGGGGACAACGUGGGGAAACUCACGCUAAUACCGCAUACGCCCUACGGGGGAAAGCGGGGGAUCUUCGGACCUCGCGCUAUGAGAUGAGCCUGCGUUAGAUUAGCUAGUUGGUAGGGUAAAGGCCUACCAAGGCGACGAUCUAUAGCUGGUCUGAGAGGACGAUCAGCCACACUGGGACUGAGACACGGCCCAGACUCCUACGGGAGGCAGCAGUGGGGAAUAUUGGACAAUGGGCGCAAGCCUGAUCCAGCAAUACCGCGUGUGUGAAGAAGGCCCUAGGGUUGUAAAGCACUUUCAAUAGGGAGGAAAACCUGUCGGUCAAUACCCGGCAGCUUGACAUUACCUAUACAAGAAGCACCGGCUAACUCCGUGCCAGCAGCCGCCGUAACAC